CCGGCACGGGUGGAGUAACACGUAUCCAACCUGCCGUCUACUCUUGGACAGCCUUCUGAAGGAAGAUUAGUACAAGAUGGCAUCAUGAGUUCACAUGUUCACAUGAUUAAAGGUAUUCCGGUAGACGAUGGGGAUGCGUUCCAUUAGAUAGUAGGCGGGGUAACGGCCCACCUAGUCUUCGAUGGAUAGGGGUUCUGAGAGGAAGGUCCCCCACAUUGGAACUGAGACACGGUCCAA
rnacentral:rRNA from 1 species